UACAGGGGGGGCAAGCGUUGUUCGGAAUUAUUGGGCGUAAAGGGCUCGUAGGCGGUUUGUCGCGUCGGGAGUGAAAACCUUGGGCUUAACUCCAAGCUUGCGGUCGAUACGGGCAGACUUGAGUUCGGCAGGGGAGACUGGAAUUCCUGGUGUAGCGGUGAAAUGCGCAGAUAUCAGGAGGAACACCGGUGGCGAAGGCGGGUCUCUGGGCCGACACUGACGCUGAGGAGCGAAAGCGUGGGGAGCGAACAGG
rnacentral:rRNA from 1 species